ensembl:snoRNA Gm22341 small nucleolar RNA SNORA44
CAGCGUGUUUCCAAGGGCCAUGGCUGGCUGUGGCCAUGGGAUCUCUAGCUGUAGACCAGAGUAACUGGAGAACUUGGACAGCCCAGGUCAGCACAGUGUCUGCAGCUGCCACUUAGCUUUCCUAUAAUG